GCAAUAGCUCAGUGGCAGAAUAUCUGCUUUACACGCAGAACAUCAUAGGUUCAAUCCUCAGUAUCUCCA
rnacentral:tRNA from 1 species